UCCCGAGCGUUNUCCGGAUUUAUUGGGCGUAAAGGGAGCGCNGGCGGUUUAGUAAGUCUGAAGUUAAAGNCAUUGGCUCAACCAAUGUAUGCUUUGGAAACUGUUAGACUUGAGUGCAGAAGGGGAGAGUGGAAUUCCAUGUGUAGCGGUGAUAUGCGUAGAUAUAUGGAGGAACACCGGUGGCGAAAGCGGCUCUCUGGUCUGUCACUGACGCUGAGGCUCGAAAGCGUGGGUAGCGAACAGGAUUAGAUACCCUGGUAGUNCACGCCGUAAACGCUGAGUGCUAGGUGUUAGGUCCUUUCCGGGACUUAGUGCCGACGCUAACGCAUUAAGCACUCCGCCUGGGGAGUACGACCGCAAGGUUGAAACUCAAAGGAAUUGACGGGGGCCCGCACAAGCGGUGGAGCAUGUGGUUUAAUUCGAAGCAACGCGAAGAACCUUACCAGGUCUUGACAUCCCGAUGCCCGCUCUAGAGAUAGAGUUUUUCUUCGGAACAUCGGAGACAGGUGGUGCAUGGUUGUCGUCAGCUCGUGUCGUGAGAUGUUGGGUUAAGUCCCGCAACGAGCGCAACCCUUAUUGUUAGUUGCCAUCAUUAAGUUGGGCACUCUAGCGAGACUGCCGGUAAUAAACCGGAGGAAGGUGGGGAUGACGUCAAAUCAUCAUGCCCCUUAUGACCUGGGCUACACACGUGCUACAAUGGUUGGUACAACGAGUCGCAAGCCGGUGACGGCAAGCUAAUCUCUGAAAGCCAAUCUCAGUUCGGAUUGUAGGCUGCAACUCGCCUACAUGAAGUCGGAAUCGCUAGUAAUCGCGGAUCAGCACGCCGCGGUGAAUACGUUCCCGGGCCUUGUACACACCGCCCGUCACACCACGAGAGUUUGUAACACCCAAAGUCGGUGAGGUAACCAUUUAUGGGGCCAGCCGC
rnacentral:rRNA from 1 species